CCGACAGCCGCUGCUCCUUCACCAGAUUGAGACGUCUGAGGAACUUGAAAAGGUCUCUACUGCUGAUGAACGCCAAUCUUUCAUUGCAAAGCUUGAUGAGGUGCAAGAAUGGCUUUACAUGGAUGGUGAAGAUGGUACGGCGGCAAAGUUUCAGGAGCGUCUGAAUUUGCUAAAAGCAAUUGGUGAUCCAAUUUUUUUUAAGUUG